ACCUCUGCAGCUCAGUUGGUGAGAGCGCUGCACCGGAAUCGCAGGGCCGUAGGUUCAAUUCCUACCAGAGGAC
rnacentral:tRNA from 1 species